UAUAGAUAAUAUUUAAAUUAUUAUCUAUUUCUGUGAAGCGUAAUGCGCAUUGCGCGGUCAUAAUCGUGAGUUUGUUUAUGCGUGAUUCACAACUCAUGUCUGUUGAGUGAUGGUUAUUAUUUUUAUUUUGUAUUCCUGCAGCUAGUUAUCCAAUUGAUUUCUUACACAUAACAAAUAAUUGCACUGUUCAAAUAUAAACUAAAAUGAAAAAUAAUCAAUUAUGAUUUAAAACCAGACCAAAAGUUGCAGCAACAUUAAGGAUCAAUUACACUCAUUCAACAAGAAUAUCAUGGACAAGGAAACAAUAAUGAAGAAACCUAAUAAAAAGUCAGAUAAACUCAAGAUUUUUAAUGGCUUCAAAUUUGGACUUAAAGCAGAAAAAAUUAUCACAGUUAUCAAAAUCAAAAGAAGUCUAUAUUUCUUAAUCAAAUGGGAAGAUGUCGAUAAAACAACACUUGUCAUGGCUAAAUAUGCUUAUGAAAAUUGUCUAUCACUCGCGUUGGAAUAUUAUGCAGGAAUUAUAGAAUGGGUUGAUAAAAGUUAAGUAUAAUUA